rnacentral:rRNA from 1 species
AGUGAACGCUGGCGGUAGGCCUAACACAUGCAAGUCGAACGGCAGCACAGUAAGAGCUUGCUCUUACGGGUGGCGAGUGGCGGACGGGUGAGGAAUACAUCGGAAUCUACUUUUUCGUGGGGGAUAACGUAGGGAAACUUACGCUAAUACCGCAUACGACCUACGGGUGAAAGCAGGGGGUCUUCGGACCUUGCGCGAUUGAAUGAGCCGAUGUCGGAUUAGCUAGUUGGCGGGGUAAGGGCCCACCAAGGCGACGAUCCGUAGCUGGUCUGAGAGGAUGAUCAGCCACACUGGAACUGAGACACGGUCCAGACUCCUACGGGAGGCAGCAGUGGGGAAUAUUGGACAAUGGGCGCAAGCCUGAUCCAGCCAUACCGCGUGGGUGAAGAAGGCCUUCGGGUUGUAAAGCCCUUUUGUUGGGAAAGAAAAGCAGCAGGUUAAUACCCCGCUGUUCCGACGGUACCCAAAGAAUAAGCACCGGCUAACUUCGUG